UGGGGAAUAUUGCACAAUGGGCGCAAGCCUGAUGCAGCCAUGCCGCGUGUAUGAAGAAGGCCUUCGGGUUGUAAAGUACUUUCAGUCGGGAGGAAGGUGGUAAGGUUAAUAACCUUAUCAAUUGACGUUACCGACAGAAGAAGCACCGGCUAACUCCGUGCCAGCAGCCGCGGUAAUACGGAGGGUGCAAGCGUUAAUCGGAAUUACUGGGCGUAAAGCGCACGCAGGCGGUUGAUUGAGUCAGAUGUGAAAUCCCCGGGCUUAACCCGGGAAUUGCAUCUGAUACUGGUCAGCUAGAGUCUUGUAGAGGGGGGUAGAAUUCCAUGUGUAGCGGUGAAAUGCGUAGAGAUGUGGAGGAAUACCGGUGGCGAAGGCGGCCACCUGGACAAAGACUGACGCUCAGGUGCGAAAGCGUGGGGAGAAAACAGG
rnacentral:rRNA from 1 species